UCCUACGAGAGCCGGGCUCCACCACCGACAUCGACUACAGGACAGCUCCGCCCGGACUCCUACGGGAGCCGGGCUCCGUCCUCAGCAUCAACCGCUGGUAGGCCUCGUCCGGACUCCUACGGGAGCCGGACCUCCCCUCUGACUUUAAUUGCAGGGAAAUUCCGCCCGGACUCCUACGGGAGCCGGGCUUCAUCCUCAAUUCCAACAGCUGCAAGCAACCUUCGUCCGGACUCCUACGGG
rnacentral:lncRNA from 1 species